rnacentral:misc_RNA from 1 species
GCAUCUUAAGCUUCUCAUCUUUCUAGUGAGAGCAAUAAUUACCUCUAUUUCGUUCUGCAUUUGAUUGACCAACAGAAUUCCUGCUGUUGCUUUUUAGCAUCUUAGGUUUCCAAUACUGUUUUCAUCAUAGAGGGGAUAAUGUGACUACUUGAAGGCCCUAAUCUGCAGAUUACAAAUAUCAUCCCCAAUCCUUCACCAUGAGUUGCAGUUGGCACAUCUCAAGUUACAGAUGCUCAAUAUCAUUUGAAUAAAAG